UUAAUUGGUGGAAUCCCCAGGUGGCUGAGUUGGCAGCAUUUUUGGCUGGUAACAACAGCAAAUGCAACAUAACCUCACUUUUCGUAUUUGUCUUUGUUCUAGUAAGUUAUGGUUGUUGCCACAAUCAACGUAAAAUGUAAAAUUUUCAUGAUGUAGCACCUGUCACAAUUAUUUAUGUCUUUCGCAACUAAACGAAAAUGAGAUAUUUCGGAAGUCCUUUUAAUUACACGCCUCUACAGUUCAUUACGUGACAUCAUUGUUUCCUAAUCUGAUUAAAAUUGUCUGCAUUCAUUAAAUCUGCCACUGAAUUAUAAAUAGUAUAUUUAUUAAACGUCUUUUUAGACGCACUGUUGUGGCUUUAAAGACUCACUGUUGUGGCUAUGAGAAAACGAUGCAAUGUAGUUGGUUUCCCGAACGUCGGUGGAUGCCCACGACUGUUAAUAAACGCGGAGACUCACCAAAGCGGAUAAAAACACUGAAGGUGGUUGCAAUCGCCACAAAUAAAACUGUCAGCGAAUGUACCGCUCGGAGAGCUCUUCAAAGAAUAGGUUUUAUGAACGCCGUUAAAUAGAAGAAACCUGCUAUGUCUAAUAAAAAUAUUAAAACACGUCUUAAGUUUUGUAAGGAAUAUACAAAUUGGUCCGUGGAAAACUGGAAAGGUUAUCUGGUCGGAUGAAACGACCAACACAUUUUCCUAAAAAGAUUUUGUACGCACAUAUGCAAUAAAACAGGGGAUGUAUGUAGACUUUUGUCUGCCAUGUAUAUGAGGACAUUGA